GUAGCGGCGAGCGAAGACGGAAGAGCCCAGCGCUGAACCCCCCGGUCCUGUCGGGCCGGCGGGGAAUGUAGCGUAAGGGAGCGUCCGUUCAACCCGGGCGCGUUCGGCGAGCACAAGUCUCCCUUGAACGGUGCCAUAAUCCGAAGAGGGUGCCAGGCCCGUACUGCCGCCGACGCGUCCGAGUGGGCGUCUCCUGGGAGUCGGUCUGUUUGAGAACGCAGACCUAAGUGGGUGGUAAACUCCAUCUAAGGCUAAAUACGACCACGAGACCGAUAGCGCACAAGUACCGUGAGGGAAAGGUGAAAAGAACUUUGAAGAGAGAGUUCAAGAGUACGUGAAACUGGAGAGGUGAAAACGGAUGUGGUUCGAAAUUCCGAACGGUGGUGUUCAGUCUCACCGGCUUCCCGGGCCUUCCGUCCGUCAGAGACCAAGGAACCUCGCCGGCGUGCGGCUUCCCCUUCGUGGGCGGUCGUCGCGUCGCCCGGUCCCCUCUCGGGCGGUUUAAAACGGUCUCGGGGCGGUGUGGAUGCACUCGCUGCCGUAGUAGGAUGUCGCGACUCGUCGGGUGACGGUCUCGAGGCCGAGCGGGGUAGCCCGGUGUCCGCGCGUCGCGCACCUCUGAGGAGAAAUGCGCGCAGGGUGGCCCGGACCCGUCUCGUGUCCUCUCCGUCUGCCCGACGGUAUCGAAAGCGCGCCGGGGCUCUGACCCGACGCCUUGAAAUCGCUCCCUCCUAACGGAGGGGGCUAGGUGUCGGAAAUCUAAUGCGCCCCGGCUGUCUGCGGCAUUGCCUGUUUCGGAUCCAUAUCCGACCCGUCUUGAAACACGGACCAAGGAGCGUAACACAUGCGCGAGUCGAAGGGUGCUUCUAAACCCGUAGGCGAAGCGAAAGCGUAAGGGACGAUGGCUUAAUUUUUUGGUCGCGCUCUCUCGCCGGGCGACCGGCGGGAACCGGCCGGCCCGCAGUCCCGGGGCACCUCAUACGGCUCGCCGCGUCCCUCGCGGCGCGGUGAGUCGAGGCGCACCUGUGAGCGUAUGUGUUGUUACCCGAAAGAUGGUGAACUAUGCCUGGCCAGGACGAAGCCAGGGGAAACCCUGGUGGAAGUCCGUAGCGAUUCUGACGUGCAAAUCGAUCGUCGGAGCUGGGUAUAGGGGCGAAAGACUAAUCGAACCAUCUAGUAGCUGGUUCCCUCCGAAGUUUCCCUCAGGAUAGCUGGCGCUCGGAGGAUAUGAGAAGCGGAUGACGAGUCUCAUCCGGUAAAGCGAAUGAUUAGAGGCCUUGGGGCCGAAACGACCUCAACCUAUUCUCAAACUUUAAAUGGGUGAGAACCCCGGCUUGCUUGAGACCCGGUGUGCCUCAGUCCGCGUCCGGUGGGGUAAAACCCGCCGCGUCGCCUCUGGGGUCCCGGGAAAGUCUCUCGAGACCCUGAAGCCGGGGAAGUCUUAGUACGUGACGGAUCAUGAGUGCCAAGUGGGCCAAUUUUGGUAAGCAGAACUGGCGCUGUGGGAUGAACCAAACGCAGAGUUAAAGCGCCUAAAUCGACGCUCAUGGGAGACCAUGAAAGGUGUUGGUUGCUUAAGACAGCAGGACGGUGGCCAUGGAAGUCGGAAUCCGCUAAGGAGUGUGUAACAACUCACCUGCCGAAGCAACUAGCCCUUAAAAUGGAUGGCGCUAAAGCGUCGUGCUUAUACUCUGCCGCCGGUGGCAAAAGCGGCCGGUUAGGCGGACGGUCCCUCUCGUUCGCGGGAGGGAAACCUGGCCCCGAGCCUUGAGGCCCCGGUGAGUAGGAGGGUCGCUCGGGUGCGCGCAGAAGGGUCUGGGCGUGAGCCUGCCUGGAGCCGCCCGAGGUGCAGAUCUUGGUGGUAGUAGCAAAUACUCCAGAGAGGGCCCUGGAGGGCUGAUGCGGAGAAGGGUUCCGUGUGAACAGCUGUUGCACACGGGUCAGUCGAUCCUAAGCCCUAGGAGAACUCCUAUGUGCGAUGCGCGGGUGCUUUCUUGUUGAAGGGAGACCCCCGCCGCCGGGCGAAAGGGAAUCAGGUUUCUAUUCCUGAACCCAGAUGCGGUACCGUUUUCUCGGGCUUGUCUCGAAGCCGUCCCUCCUCGUCCUUUAGGGGUCGGGUUCUCGGGGCGUGCCUAGGGCGAACUCGUCGGGGUAACCCGAACAGCCGCGGAGAAGCCGGCCGGAGCCCCCGGGAGAGUUGUCUUUUCUGUAUUACCGCGCAAGUUCCCUGGAAUUCCAUUGCGGAGAGAGAGGGAAUAGCGCGGGAAGAGCACCGCACUUGCGGCGGUGUCGGGGGUGACCGCUCGGACCAUGAAAAUCCGCG
rnacentral:rRNA from 1 species